UAAAAAGAUAGAGGCAGCGAUGCAGAUGAGUACUUUUUGGAGAAGGCAUUCGAUGAAAAGAAGGAAAGGCAAUCAUCGCCGAAAAGAAAGAAAUGGCAGUUUCGUUCUUUGGUACCUGGGGGAAUACCUCAUGUACUCCUUCAGUCGAAGAGGAGUUAUCUUAAUA
rnacentral:ncRNA from 2 species